rnacentral:rRNA from 1 species
GGCUUAGAGUUUGAUCAUGGCUCAGGACGAACGCUGGCGGCGUGCCUAAUACAUGCAAGUCGAGCGGAGUUGAUGGGGUGCUUGCACUCCUGAUACUUAGCGGCGGACGGGUGAGUAACACGUAGGCAACCUGCCCUCAAGACUGGGAUAACUACCGGAAACGGUAGCUAAUACCGGAUAAUUAAAUUCGCUGCAUGGCGGAUUUAUGAAAGGCGGAGCAAUCUGUCACUUGAGGAUGGGCCUGCGGCGCAUUAGCUAGUUGGUGAGGUAACGGCUCACCAAGGCGACGAUGCGUAGCCGACCUGAGAGGGUGAACGGCCACACUGGGACUGAGACACGGCCCAGACUCCUACGGGAGGCAGCAGUAGGGAAUCUUCCGCAAUGGGCGAAAGCCUGACGGAGCAACGCCGCGUGAGUGAUGAAGGUUUUCGGAUCGUAAAGCUCUGUUGCCAGGGAAGAACGUCUCAUAGAGUAACUGCUAUGAGAGUGACGGUACCUGAGAAGAAAGCCCCGGCUA